UGGGCGUAAAGCGAGCGCAGCGUUUUUAAGUCUGAUGUGAAAGCCUUCGGCUCAACCGAAGAAGUGCAUCGGAAACUGGGAGACUUGAGUGCAGAAGAGGACAGUGGAACUCCAUGUGUAGCGGUGAAAUGCGUAGAUAUAUGGAAGAACACCAGUGGCGAAGGCGGCUGUCUGGUCUGUAACUGACGCUGAGGCUCGAAAAGCAUGGGUAGCAAACAGGAUUAGAUACCCUGGUAGUCCAUACCGUAAACGAUGAGUGCUAGGUGUUGGAGGGUUUCCGCCCUUCAGUGCUGCAGCUAACGCAUUAAGCACUCCGCCUGGGGAGUACGACCGCAAGGCUGAAACUCAAAGGAAUUGACGGGGGCCCGCACAAGCGGUGGAGCAUGUGGUUUAAUUCGAAGCUACGCGAAGAACCUUACCAGGUCUUGACAUACUAUGCAAAUCUAAGAGAUUAGACGUUCCCUUCGGGGACAUGGAUACAGGUGGUGCAUGGUUGUCGUCAGCUCGUGUCGUGAGAUGUUGGGUUAAGUCCCGCAACGAGCGCAACCCUUAUUAUCAGUUGCCAGCAUUAAGUUGGGCACUCUGGUGAGACUGCCGGUGACAAACCGGAGGAAGGUGGGGAUGACGUCAAAUCAUCAUGCCCCUUAUGACCUGGGCUACACACGUGCUACAAUGGAUGGUACAACGAGUUGCGAACUCGCGAGAGUAAGCUAAUCUCUUAAAGCCAUUCUCAGUUCGGAUUGUAGGCUGCAACUCGCCUACAUGAAGUCGGAAUCGCUAGUAAUCGCGGAUCAGCAUGCCGCGGUGAAUACGUUCCCGGGCCUUGUACACACCGCCCGUCACACCAUGAGAGUUUGUAACGCCCAAAGUCGGUGGCGGUAACCUUUUAGGAACCAGCCGCCUAAAGCGUGA
rnacentral:rRNA from 2 species